rnacentral:rRNA from 1 species
GACGAACGCUGGCGGCGUGCUUAACACAUGCAAGUCGAACGGAAAGGCCCUGCUUUUGUGGGGUGCUCGAGUGGCGAACGGGUGAGUAACACGUGAGUAACCUGCCCUUGACUUUGGGAUAACUUCAGGAAACUGGGGCUAAUACCGGAUAGGAGCUCCUGCUGCAUGGUGGGGGUUGGAAAGUUUCGGCGGUUGGGGAUGGACUCGCGGCUUAUCAGCUUGUUGGUGGGGUAGUGGCUUACCAAGGCUUUGACGGGUAGCCGGCCUGAGAGGGUGACCGGCCACAUUGGGACUGAGAUACGGCCCAGACGCCUACGGGAGGCAGCAGUGGGGAAUAUGGCACAAUGGGCGGAAGCCUGAUGCAGCAACGCCGCGUGCGUGAUGACGGCUUUCUGGUUGUAAACCGCUUUCGCCUGUUACGAAGCGUGAGUGACGGUAAUGGGUAAAGAAGCACCGGCUAACUACGUG